UACGGAGGAUGCAAGCGUUAUCCGGAAUGAUUGGGCGUAAAGCGUCCGCAGGUGGCUAUGUAAGUCUGCUGUUAAAGAGUGGAGGCUCAACCUCAUAAGAGCAGUGGAAACUACAUGGCUAGAGUGCGUUCGGGGCAGAGGGAAUUCCUGGUGUAGCGGUGAAAUGCGUCGAGAGUAUCAGGAAGAACACCCGGUGGCGAAGGCGGCCGCUGGUCGGAGC
rnacentral:rRNA from 1 species